rnacentral:rRNA from 1 species
GACGAACGCUGGCGGCGUGCUUAACACAUGCAAGUCGAACGGAAAGGCCCUGCUUUUGUGGGGUGCUCGAGUGGCGAACGGGCGAGUAACACGUGAGUAACCUGCCCUUGACUUUGGGAUAACUUCAGGAAACUGGGGCUAAUACCGGAUAGGAGCUCCUGCUGCAUGGUGGGGGUUGGAAAGUUUCGGCGGUUGGGGAUGGACUCGCGGCUUAUCAGCUUGUUGGUGGGGUAGUGGCUUACCAAGGCUUUGACGGGUAGCCGGCCUGAGAGGGUGACCGGCCACAUUGGGACUGAGAUACGGCCCAGACUCCUACGGGAGGCAGCAGUGGGGAAUAUUGCACAAUGGGCGGAAGCCUGAUGCAGCAACGCCGCGUGCGGGAUGACGGCCUGCGGGUUGUAAACCGCUUUCGCCUGUGACGAAGCGUGAGUGACGGUAAUGGGUAAAGAAGCACCGGCUAACUACGUG